GGUAGAAUGGCUGAGAGUUAGGCGGUAAACUGUAAAUUUAUUUAGGAGAGUUAUCUCUUCUACCA
rnacentral:tRNA from 1 species